rnacentral:rRNA from 1 species
CGGGCUUCGGCCUGGCGGCGAGUGGCGAACGGGUGAGUAAUAUAUCGGAACGUACCCAAGAGUGGGGGAUAACGUAGCGAAAGUUACGCUUAUACCGCAUACGAUCUAAGGAUGAAAGCAGGGGACCGCAAGGCCUUGUGCUCCUGGAGCGGCCGAUAUCUGAUUAGCUAGUUGGUGAGGUAAAGGCUCACCAAGGCAACGAUCAGUAGCUGGUCUGAGAGGACGACCAGCCACACUGGAACUGAGACACGGUCCAGACUCCUACGGGAGGCAGCAGUGGGGAAUUUUGGACAAUGGGGGCAACCCUGAUCCAGCAAUGCCGCGUGAGUGAAGAAGGCCUUCGGGUUGUAAAGCUCUUUUGUCAGGGAAGAAAAGGCUGUGGCUAAUAUCCAUAGCUGCUGACGGUACCUGAAGAAUAAGCACCGGCUAACUACGUGCCAGCAGCCGCGGUAAUACGUAGGGUGCAAGCGUUAAUCGGAAUUACUGGGCGUAAAGCGUGCGCAGGCGGUUUCGUAAGUCUGUCGUGAAAUCCCCGGGCUUAACCUGGGAAUGGCGAUGGAGACUGCGAGGCUAGAGUUUGGCAGAGGGGGGUAGAAUUCCACGUGUAGCAGUGAAAUGCGUAGAGAUGUGGAGGGACACCGAUGGCGAAGGCAGCCCCCUGGGUCAAAACUGACGCUCAUGCACGAAAGCGUGGGGAGCAAACAGGAUUAGAUACCCUGGUAGUCCACGCCCUAAACGAUGUCUACUAGUUGUUGGGUCUUAAUUGACUUAGUAACGCAGCUAACGCGUGAAGUAGACCGCCUGGGGAGUACGGUCGC